rnacentral:rRNA from 1 species
GACGAACGCUGGCGGCGUGCUUAACACAUGCAAGUCGAACGGGUCUGCCCUGUUUUUUGCGGGGUGGGUCAGUGGCGAACGGGUGAGUAACACGUGAGUAACCUGCCCCUCACUUCUGGAUAACCGCUUGAAAGGGUGGCUAAUACGGGGUGUUCUGGCUGUGCCGCAUGGUGUGGCUGGGAAAGAUUCACUUUUGUGGUGUUUUGGUGGGGGAUGGGCUCGCGGCCUAUCAGCUUGUUGGUGGGGUGAUGGCCUGCCAAGGCUUUGACGGGUAGCCGGCCUGAGAGGGUGGGCGGUCACACUGGGACUGAGAUACGGCCCAGACUCCUGCGGGAGGCAGCAGUGGGGGGUAUUGCACAAUGGGCGGAAGCCUGAUGCAGCGACGUCGCGUGAGGGAUGGAGGCCUUCGGGUUGUGAACCACUUUCGCCGGUGAAGAAGGUCCUGCUCUUUGUGGUGGGGUUGACGGUAGCCGGGUUAUGAAGCGCCGGCUAACUACGUG